rnacentral:rRNA from 1 species
AUUGAACGCUGGCGGCAUGCCUUACACAUGCAAGUCGAACGGCAGCACGGGAGCAAUCCUGGUGGCGAGUGGCGAACGGGUGAGUAAUAUAUCGGAACGUGCCCAGUCGUGGGGGAUAACGCAGCGAAAGUUGUGCUAAUACCGCAUACGAUCUAUGGAUGAAAGCGGGGGAUCGCAAGACCUCGCGCGAUUGGAGCGGCCGAUAUCAGAUUAGGUUGUUGGUGAGGUAAAAGCUCACCAAGCCUGCGAUCUGUAGCUGGUCUGAGAGGACGACCAGCCACACUGGAACUGAGACACGGUCCAGACUCCUACGGGAGGCAGCAGUCGAGAAUAGUCUACAAUGGUCGAAAGACUGAUAGUGCGACGCCGCGUGAACGAAGAAGCCCUUCGGGGUGUAAAGUUCUUUUAUAUGUGAGCAGUGACAUCUAUAUUAAUAGUAUGGGUGUAGAGAUAUUAGCAUAU